CCCGCUGAACUUAAGCAUAUCAGUAAGCGGAGGAAAAGAAACUAACAAGGAUUCCCCUAGUAGCGGCGAGUGAAGCGGGAACAGCUCAAAUUUAAAAUCUGGGAGCCUUGUCGCUCUCCGAAUUGUAAUUUAAAGAGGCGUGCUCUUGGGCGGCGUUGAUGGACAAGUUCCUUGGAACAGGACAUCAAAGAGGGUGAGAAUCCCGUUUGGCCAUUGACGACGCUCAUCCAUGUCACGCUCUCGAAGAGUCGGGUUGCUUGGGAAUGCAGCCCAAAAUGGGUGGUAAAUUUCAUCUAAGGCUAAAUAUUGGCAGGAGACCGAUAGCGAACAAGUACCGUGAGGGAAAGAUGAAAAGAACUUUGAAAAGAGAGUUAAAUAGUGCGUGAAAUUGUUAAAAGGGAAACCAUGGGUACCGAUUAUGAGGGCGCUGGCGUGGCUAGGAGGGUUGGAGUUGGGUUGGAUGUGGAGAGCUGUAACAGGCCUCCAGCCAGCCUCACGCUCAGCCCCCUUGCCACCUCCCACGCCCUUCAUGUCAGCAUCAGUUUGGCGUGCUGCAUACGGCCUGGGGGAAGGUGACGCUCGUCUCGGCGAGUCGUUUUAUAGACCCUGGUGUCCUGCAGCGUGGCGGACUGAGGAUCGCAGCUGUGGCAUCAAGUGCGCUUGAUCUGAGGGCGGUUCUGGGUGGCACUCAACACGUUGAGUCCGCCAACCGGCUUUUGACGUCGAGCGCGCGGACCGCAGCCUAAGGAUGCUGGCUAAGGGUACUCACGGCCCCGUCUUGAAACACGG
rnacentral:rRNA from 1 species